GUUCAAUGAUGAAUUUCACUGUUCAACUGCUGGGUGAUUGAAAAUGAACUAAACUCAUAAUUCUGAAAUGA
rnacentral:snoRNA from 1 species